rnacentral:lncRNA from 1 species
AAGACUGGAUAAUCAUCGUAUCUGAUUCCGCCUCAAGGUAUACUUGAUAAUGUUGCCAUUUAUGUGCAAUUCACUAUAUGAUGUUCAUGCCUUUAAUGGGCCUGUCAAUAUAUUUCAGUGCACCCACCAAUUGGUUUUAUCAUCAUACGUCAUUCGUGAGAAAUGGGAUGGUGAGUUUCUCAAUGCAGUUUUAAUUUUUGUGCGAAUAAUGUUUGUAAAAAGUUUGUUUGUAUUUAGUUCACCAUUCAUGCUUUUAAAGAUAAGAAGUGCAAAGCUCACUCAGAUGUUAGUUUUGGGUGGCAAUUGAAAGAUACAAGGAUAAACAAAAAUACCAACCAAUUGAAAGGAUAAAUUCAAUUGAAAAUAUUUGGUUCAUCAAUUAUUAUAGUUUGAGCUUUCUGCAUUAAAUGUCUUGUUUUCGGAAAGAGUGAUUCAUGUAAUUGGGUUUUAUUAAAAUUUUCAUGAUUUUAUACAGUUUUUCGUUUAAAUUUGUGGAUUCUGAGUUAAUUUCUGAUUGUAUGUCUAAAAUUUUUUGGAAUUUGGCUGUUUCUUCAAUUUCAUCACCACCCAUUCUCACAACUUCAUCUAAAAUGUUUUGCAUGUAUAAGAUUCAUGUUCAUGGAGGUCAUUUCAAACGGAUUUCAAGCUGAGCUGCAGAAAUUUGAUUCAAAUUGGUGGAUUUGGGUAAGAAACUAAGAAACCAUAAUCUUUUCUUUCUGUUUUAAGAGCUGAAUUUAAUGGUUAAGUUUAUGUUUCAAGAUUAUCUUCCUUUCUCCUAAAUACUGAGUUUUAUGUGAUUACAUUUGGCAAGUCUGAAAACGGAUUAGGAAUACUGAGUUUUAUGAGAUCUAUUUGGCAAGUCUGAAAGCUGAUUGCGUAUGUUUAUAUCUUCCUUUCUCCUAAAUACUGAGUUUUAUGAGAUCACACUAUCUUAUAUUUAUUAUAAUCUUAUGCAGUCAGAAGAAUUAUCAUCUUUUCCCUUUCAUAUUUCAACAUAUUUGGAAAUACUUCAAAUUUUUUGUAGUGCAGUUUGUAGUUAACAUGAUUAAAUAAGUUCUGUUUCUUUAGUAAAUUUUUAUGCAGGAAAGAAAGUCAUUUCUCAUUUUGUAUAUGGCAGAGUGGACAGUGACUUAAAAUUCAUGCUUUUUUCCUCCCUAUUUAUUACCUUUUUCGACUACAUAAUAGUUCUAUGACUCGAUCCCAGUUUGUAAUACUCAUUUAUAUACAAACAAAACUUAGUCGUAUUGUGAUCAGACGAAGCAGUGGAGGUAGUGUGUAUGAUGGCAUGUUACAUGAGAGCUGAUUUGAAUUUUUUGGGAUCAAUUGACGUUGACUACUUGCUAAUUUGAAAUACUUAAACUAUAACUUUUCUUUAAUUCCUUUUUCUUUUGUAUUUUCAUUGGAUUCGUUUCAUUUUUCUGCUUGAUUUAUCUUAAGAAUGUUUGCAUCUUAAUACUUACUUAAAUUAUGUUAAUUUGUCCCCUUUUUUAUAAAAUUUUGUGCAAUGUGAAUGUGGGUUAUUCUCAAUCUUCAGAUGGUGAUUAUUUGACAACUUCUACAAACAUGUCUUCUCAGCCUCUGAAAUACAGAGCUGAUGAUGAGAGGAACCAGAUGUGCUGGAAUCGGGUUAGAAUCAUUCUAAAUUAUUCGUUAAGUUAUUGAUAGAAAAUAUGGUUGCCUAGUCCACUUUUGUAUUUUCAUCAUCUUAAACAUUAUCCUUUGAUAGCACUUUGUUUUUAUUUAUGAACGAGCUAUAAACCUUAUCUUUAUCAUGGGUCACAGUGCAACGUUUAACGAUUGAAUUUGUAAGAUGGUUUAGCAAUUUUUUCAGAAACUUAUUAUAAUCAGAUAGUCAAAUAUUAUGUCUUCUUCUUUUCUGCUUUUCUUUUUCCGUGUUUUCCCCAUGUGGUAGCCUGAUAACUUGAAAGUAUGAGUAUAAUACUGAUGGUACAUGAUCUAUAAAUGAACGCUUUUUUAUUGCAUGGAUAUUCAUAUAUAGCAAACAAAGUUUCACUUCGUUGGUUCUUAGGUGCUACACCGUCUUUUAAGUUACUUUGUGUAAAAAUUAUUCAUGUCUGUUGCGGCUAAUACAUUCAAUCCCCGCAGCAAAGCGCGAGCAUAUUUUCUUGUUGAAUAUGAUAAAAGGGAAACGGAAGACAUCCCAAAAACACAACCCCAAUUAGAGUUGUAAAUUCUAAAUGAAGCAAAAUCAUAAUUACACAAUUAAGAUGGCAAUCCAAUCCACUAACCCAUCAAACAACAUUAAGUGUUAAGAAUGA